rnacentral:rRNA from 1 species
GCCCGUACCGUAAACCGACACAGGUGGGUGGGAUGAGUAUUCUAAGGCGCGUGGAAGAACUCUCUUUAAGGAACUCUGCAAAAUAGCACCGUAUCUUCGGUAUAAGGUGUGCCUAGCUUCGUUAAGAAUUUACUUCGUAAGCGAAGAAGGUUACAACAAAGAGUCCCUCCCGACUGUUUACCAUAAACACAGCACUCUGCUAACUCGUAAGAGGAUGUAUAGGGUGUGACGCCUGCCCGGUGCUCGAAGGUUAAUUGAUGACGUUAGCUUACGCAAAGCGUCUGAUCGAAGCCCGAGUAAACGGCGGCCGUAACUAUAACGGUCCUAAGGUAGCGAAAUUCCUUGUCGGUUAAAUACCGACCUGCAUGAAUGGCGUAACGAGAUGGGAGCUGUCUCAAAGAGGGAUCCAGUGAAAUUGUAGUGGAGGUGAAAAUUCCUCCUACCCGCGGCAAGACGGAAAGACCCCGUGGACCUUUACUAUAGCUUGACACUGCUACUUGGAUAAAGAUGCGCAGGAUAGGUGGGAGGCUUUGAGUCGUAGAUCUCGGUUUACGAUGAGCCAUUGUUGAGAUACCACUCUUCUUUAUUCGGGUAGCUAACUAGCCUAAGUUAUCCUUAGGUAGGACAAUGUCUGGUGGGUAGUUUGACUGGGGCGGUCGCCUCCCAAAAUGUAACGGAGGCUUACAAAGGUUGGCUCAAAGCGGUUGGAAAUCGCUUGCAGAGUAUAAAGGCAAAAGCCAGCUUAACUGCGAGACAUACACGUCGAGCAGAGACGAAAGUCGGUCUUAGUGAUCCGGUGGUUCUGUGUGGAAGGGCCAUCGCUCAAAGGAUAAAAGGUACCCCGGGGAUAACAGGCUGAUCUCCCCCAAGAGCUCACAUCGACGGGGAGGUUUGGCACCUCGAUGUCGGCUCAUCGCAUCCUGGGGCUGGAGCAGGUCCCAAGGGUUGGGCUGUUCGCCCAUUAAAGCGGUACGCGAGCUGGGUUCAGAACGUCGUGAGACAGUUCGGUCCCUAUCUGCCGUGGGCGUAAGAAGAUUGAGGAGAGUUGACCCUAGUACGAGAGGACCGGGUUGAACCGACCACUGGUGUACCGGUUGUUCUGCCAAGAGCACCGCCGGGUAGCUAAGUCGGGAUGCGAUAAGAGCUGAAAGCAUCUAAGCUCGAAGCCGACUCCAAGAUGAAUCUUCUUUUAAGAGCUCUAGUAGACUACUAGUUUGAUAGGCCGGAUGUGUAAUGGAUGAAAGUCCUUUAGCUGACCGGUACUAAUAGCUCGUUUGCUUAUCUUU